GACGAAGGGGGCAAGCGUUGUUCGGAAUUACUGGGCGUAAAGGGCGCGUAGGCGGCUCUGUAAGUCAGGCGUGAAAGCCCUGGGCUCAACCUGGGAGUGGCGCUUGAUACUGUGGGGCUAGAGAGCGGGAGAGGAUGGUGGAAUUCCUGGUGUAGCGGUGGAAUGCGCAGAUAUCAGGAGGAACACCAAUAGCGAAGGCAGCUCGCUGGGACGGUACUGACGCUAAGGCGCGAAAGCGUGGGGAGCGAACAGG
rnacentral:rRNA from 1 species